rnacentral:rRNA from 1 species
ACGUACACUCCUGCGGGAGGCAGCAGUGGGGAAUAUUGGACAAUGGGCGCAAGCCUGAUCCAGCCAUGCCGCGUGAGUGAUGAAGGCCCUAGGGUUGUAAAGCUCUUUCACCGGUGAAGAUAAUGACGGUAACCGGAGAAGAAGCCCCGGCUAACUUCGUGCCAGCAGCCGCGGUAAUACGAAGGGGGCUAGCGUUGUUCGGAUUUACUGGGCGUAAAGCGCACGUAGGCGGACUAUUAAGUCAGGGGUGAAAUCCCGGGGCUCAACCCCGGAACUGCCUUUGAUACUGGUAGUCUUGAGUUCGAGAGAGGUGAGUGGAAUUCCGAGUGUAGAGGUGAAAUUCGUAGAUAUUCGGAGGAACACCAGUGGCGAAGGCGGCUCACUGGCUCGAUACUGACGCUGAGGUGCGAAAGCGUGGGGAGCAAACAGGAUUAGAAACCCUUGUAGUCCAUG